rnacentral:rRNA from 1 species
CACACGACUCUCGGCAACGGAUAUCUCGGCUCUCGCUUCGAUGAAGAACGUAGCGAAAUGCGAUACCUGGUGUGAAUUGCAGAAUCCCGCGAACCAUCGAGUCUUUGAACGCAAGUUGCGCCCGAGGCCACUCGGCCGAGGGCACGCCUGCCUGGGCGUCACGC